ACAGUCCUUCAUCCGGUAAGGCGUAGCGAGCCGCCGGAACCCCGAGUCAUGGGCGGUUGUCAGUAAUGGCAAUGGUUAAGCGUUGACAGGGGAACGUAUAGGCUCUGCUUCUAAUAUAAAGAGGGAGCUCCGAAAUCAUUAUCGAGAACGCUGACCUUGUUGGGUGAGAGCACAAGCGCUUAAGGACAUCCAUAAUUUACUUCAGAUCUUUACUGUAGGUUUUAUGUUUGUUGGAAUCAUUGCCCG
rfam:Endozoicomonas sp. (ex Bugula neritina AB1) isolate AB1-5 ACH42_contig000115, whole genome shotgun sequence.